AAUAAACUUUGUUGUCGCUUCCAUGUUUUCCAGUAUUUGUAAUGAGCCACUGCGAAGUGUUGCGACUAUUUUACCUGAUUUAGAAUGAAUUGCAAUAUCCCAUAUGGUUUCUCUCCUAAAUCAACACUACCCGUACAUUUAUUAGCAGAUCUAAAUCUACAGAUCUUUUUGCUAUUAUGGAAACAAGCAUAUAAUUCGUUUUCAUCUGCUACAACACCCGUAAUCAUUAUUUCAUGAUAUUCGUUCUUUUCAAUUUAUAAUUUCCUUUUACGUGUGAACUUCUUUGGGGUCCUUGUAAUCGGUGACUUUAUUUGUUCUCCAAAUUGUUUUAUUUGUGUGUAUUUAACAUUACAAGAGUCAGACGACACUUUGAAUUUACCAAGUACUUUUCCCCUAGCACAUUUGUUUCUGUAAAGUGUAGACUUGAUUCAUCAACUUUGAAUAUGACUUCAUCCAAAGUUUGAUCCUGAUUUAAAAACUUAAACCUUAACUCUUGAAGGAAAACAAGUCUAAUUAACCGAACCAUUCUUUAUUAUAAAUUGUAAUUG
rnacentral:lncRNA from 1 species